AGUGAACGCUGGCGGUAGACCUAACACAUGCAAGUCGAACGGCAGCACAGUAAGAGCUUGCUCUUACGGGUGGCGAGUGGCGGACGGGUGAGGAAUACAUCGGAAUCUACUUUUUCGUGGGGGAUAACGUAGGGAAACUUACGCUAAUACCGCAUACGACCUACGGGUGAAAGCAGGGGAUCUUCGGACCUUGCGCGAUUGAAUGAGCCGAUGUCGGAUUAGCUAGUUGGCGGGGUAAAGGCCCACCAAGGCGACGAUCCGUAGCUGGUCUGAGAGGAUGAUCAGCCACACUGGAACUGAGACACGGUCCAGACUCCUACGGGAGGCAGCAGUGGGGAAUACUGGACAAUGGGCGCAAGCCUGAUCCAGCCAUACCGCGUGGGUGAAGAAGGCCUUCGGGUUGUAAAGCCCUUUUGUUGGGAAAGAAAAGCAGCAGGUUAAUACCCCGCUGUUCUGACGGUACCCAAAGAAUAAGCACCGGCUAACUUCGUG
rnacentral:rRNA from 1 species